CACGGACCGCAGCGAACGUUAUUCGGUAUCACUGGGCUUAAAGGGUGCGUAGGCGGCUUUGCAAGUUGGGUGUGAAAGCCCCGUCGGCUCAACCGAGGAAUUGCGCUACAAUACUGCCGAGCUCGAGAGAGACAGAGGUAAGCGGAACUAAUGGUGGAGCGGUAGAAAUGCGUUGAUAUCAUUAGGAACACCGGUGGCGAAGGCGGCUUACUGGGUCUUUUCUGACGCUGAGGCACGAAAGCCAGGG
rnacentral:rRNA from 1 species